CUCUCCUCCCAGUGAUUUUCUCUGUGGAUAACACCGUUGUCCUCUUCUUCUGAAUCAAGUGAUGGGUGCAGCCCAAACUCCACUACAACACAGAUCUUUGAUGUUAGAGUUGAGCGGUCAGCUUUCAGAUGGUAUAUGCAAAGCCUACCAUGAGGCCAAGAUUCAGCACAGAGAAAAAAACUUCAGAGACAAUCACGGCACCACCCCAUGGCACGUAAAUAGGGUGAAGGUUAUAAUGCAUACAGCUUGGUAAACAACCUCUUGGAUUGGUGGAGAAAAUAUUGUCUAUUAACAUUAUUCCAGAAGAUGGGAUUCCAUGUCAAAGAAAUUUGUAGCUUCAUCAUUUGCUUAUCUCAGAUUUCAUUUACAGAGACAAUCAGAAUAUAAAUGAUGGCAGCUCCGCUUCUCUUGACAAUUUUGGAUGGGGGCUUGGGAGUGGCGGCGCAAGUAGCCUCGGCCUCAAUCUAUCGAUUUUAUGUUCUGUGCUGCAGAUUCCUGUUCGGACUGGCCUUCUUGUGAUCAUCAAGUUUCUCUUCGUUCCUAAGAGCGGAUGUCGGAUCGGUGCCCAUCGUGUCCAUCCGCCUCUACUCUGUCGUUACAUCGGCUUUGUACUGCUGGAGUCUUGAAGUGCAGCAGCAUCGGACGGACCAUACACCUAAGGGCAGCAGGACUGGAACCGUGGUUAUGGUGGUAGCAGCGGCGGAUGGGAAUUGGUGGAGGAGACCAAUUCGGUGCUGGCCGGCGAGCACAGCAUGGCAGGAGGUCUGAGAUGGCCAAGUUCGUCGUGCGGGAUUUCGUUGGUCGAGCAGAGGCUGCUGCACCUCUAUGCUGCCAAGCUGGAGUACUAAGUUUGUUCCUUCUUAGCCUUAGGCUGCAGUGAGCCACCGAAGAUCUCCAUAUGGCCACCUAUCUCUUCAUAUUCUCUUGGCAAUAUUCUGUUGCUACAAUUUUUUUGCUUGCCGAUUGAUGGUUUCAGUGAAGUGAACUAAAACGCAUGAGAUCUGCUCCAGCCCAAGAGUCUCUUUUUGGAAUAUUAUAGAUGUGUCUUGUGCAAUAAACUCAAGAUAGAGACAAGAGAUCAUUCCUUCUUGAUAUGUCAGUUUGCCCGGACGCGUUGGAAAUAUAUAUGGCCAGGUUUCAGAACUACCAGGUUUCAGAACUACAAAUUUGUUCAUAAGAAUAUUAAAAAUAGGUUAUAUAUAUGUUUAGAGGACAAAAAUUCUCCUGGGCAAGCAUCCAAUUGAUUGUGCUUCCAACAAAAUAACAAGUCCGAAGCUCAGGCAGCUAAGAGAAGAAGAGGAGGAGGAGCAGGACAUACCAAAUCAGACUUCGUUUCGUCAGUCUAUUUCUUCAGAGGGCAAAGAAGUCAUCAUUCUUCAGUCGAUUACUUCAAAGGGCAAAGAACCAGUCGACGAGGACAAUAGCUGACUGCUCCAACACCAGGGAACCACAACACCACCGGUCCUACUAUUCUACUUUCCUUUUUAGUUAAAAAUGUGUUAACAUGCUAUGUUCAUGUACUCUAUGUAUGCCAAUCCAAUCAGGUGCAAUAACUGGUUAGGUUGGCGAAUUAUGAUGGGUUCUGUAGUUAGCUCAUAUAUAUACUAUAAAUUAUUAGUACCACUACCACCUAAUCUUUGUAUUGUGUGUGGAUUGACCCAAUCUUUCAUCAAUAUCCUAUACAAGUCUGUUGCGAACAUCAACAACACUCUGGUAAAACUAUGCAAUGCAAUUCUUCAAAUUGAAGCUACAUUUCAGGCGAGGAGUUGUGUGGGGAUGAUGAUGUGGUCUUGGGGCUCAGGAAAAGUGGAUAAGUCGUUUUUGAGUGUUACAUGAUUAUGAGUUCAGUUUGGUUAUCUCUAUUCCUUACAAAUAAAAGAAUCUUCAGUUUAGGUUAGUGGAGUCUGUCUGAUGUAUAAUAUUUUGCUUCUCUCUGUUGUCUUUUCUUUAUAUUUAUGUAGUUCUACACAAGAAGAUUAUAAUAUACUUCAUGGUUCAAUUUUAGUUCUACACACGAGGAUUCGAGUAGGAAGCUAUGUAAAUCACAACUUUCUGCCUUUACUGACGAUUGUUGGGUUACUUCCAUGGCUGCUAACACAUCAAUUUCUCAGUUUGCUAAAUAGUUUUCAGAAUUUUAGCUCCUGAAUGAUAGUGAUAUACUCUGCUGAAACAUCUUGGUUAACUGAAUGAUGCAUUUCCCAUUUGUUGAUGCUAAAAUUUUGAUCUGUUGUUUUAAUGCCAUUGCUGUGUUCCUGCUCUUUCUUCAUUUUUCAAUCCGUGCUUGAGUCGCAGUCGAGUCCUAGAGGUCUGCAUGUGGUUCCACUUUCUUCUUCUUGUUUUUUCUUUUGUUCCUCCUAUUUUUCCAUUGGUUGUUUCCUUGCGUGUGUGCCAGUGGCUAGAUGAUGGUAAUCUACGCUCCGUUGUGACUAAAUAGUCUAUAUUUUCUUUCAUUGCUUUUGAAUAUCCUGGUGUAUCUAGAAAAUUUUGAUCAUAGACUAUGGAAGACAAACUAAGGUAUUUUCAGCUAGGAUCUACCAAAGUGUUCCUUUAUAUGCUUUUCAUAAUUCUCUUGCAGAUUCAGCUCGAGACUGUUAGGUAUGGAACUGUUUUAUCUCCGCGUGCACUCUUCUUGUUGACAGAAAUAUAACAAAUAUUGGCAAAUCUGAGUGAAGAUCCAAUUCUCUUCAAGGUCAAGUGAGAAGGCAUAUAACAAAUAUGGGCAAAUCAUGUGGUUGUACAAUUUUAUUUCUAUAAAUGCACAUACCUUUAUAUGUAAUUCUGAAAUUAUUACUCUGUUAUUUCUUACUGGUCUGAAUUAACAAAAUAACCCCUAUUUGGAUGAUGGAAGAGAUUUCUACCACCCACCUCCCAAACUCUAUACCUAUCGACACUCAUAUAAAAGAAACAGAGGUUUGUCUUCUCCAAACUUUGUUUUGUAGUUCGCCUAAAUAAGUGGUUUUAUUUACAAGUGGACCUACCACUAAGUAUGGCACAUGUGAUUGUCAAUUUAUCAUGGAAGUUUUUUUCUGAAUUAUAGUUAUUUUUGUUGACCAAUGGUUAUCUACCUGAAACAGUGUGGCCAUGCUGUGUCUACCAAAAUAAUUUUAACUUCCUGGUGUAAUAAUAUGGUCAUGUUAUUUUUCUUCUUUUCAAUUCUACAUAACUACUGGAAGUAGUCACAAUUACAAUUAUUGUGAUGCUGGACAUAUUCAUUUGGGCUCAUAUCAGAUAGGUAAUAGAAACUUACACUUGACACAGGAAAAAGGUUUAUAUAAUCUUCCACACUGCUACUGUUCAGAGUAUUUUCAUAUUUGGAGUUUGUUUACAUAUCAGUUACUCAAUUCUAGCAAAGUUAUGUCAUGGUCCGUUCAUUUGCCAUGACAUCUUUGAACUCCCACUAUAUUCCAAUGAAUUAAGAGGACCCAAGCCCAUAUGUGAUCAUUUUUUGUCAGGGUACUAUUCAUACACGGUAUAGCUUUUACGCAACAUAGUUAGUACCAGUACCUGUUUGAUAGCCCUAGACUCUCAAGGAAUCUAUCUAGCCAUCCAGGUCUCACGAAAUAGUCCAUCCGAACAGCUUCCAUUUCCUUCAGGAGCCUUGCAAUACUUGAAGCUAUAUUUUGUUGUAUAGUUAGUUCAUAUUACUAGGAAAAGUUAAGCAAGCUAUAUAUGUCCAAGAUACCUUAUCUUUUGCAAAGUAUAUCACAGCUAAAUGAAGUCAAUAUCUUUUCUGGUACCUAUUACUGAUGUGUAAAUCUGAUGAACAUAUUGUGUCUUUGUCAAAAGACAUUUUUCUAAGGAAAUAGAUAACUCAUGUUAACCAGUGAUUGGAAUUGUUGAUGGCCUCAAGACAAAGGCGAGAUUAUCCAUCAGAGUGGCUUCUCUACCAAAUAAGCAAUGAAUGCGCUUUUAUGACUGGUGUUCUUAGGGACUUUCGAUGUUUCCAGAUGUUCCACUCAGCUUCAUGACUGUUGUUCUUGGGGACUUUUGAUGCCUUGAGAUCUUCUACUCUACAAUUCUAGAAUUCUGAUGAUACAAAAGCUUAUGAGCAUAAUUUUACAUUGUAUCUUGGCUUGGCAUUUUGAGAACAGAAUAUUUACUACAACAUUUUCUCACAGAAAAUGUCCCCAUGACAGCCUGCAAGGUACUAUCAAUCCACCUACAAGAAUUGAUUAACGUAGGAGGCAUAGAGAUCUCGCAGUGGACAGCAGCCUAUGGUUCAGUCACAACAACAAUUUCCCAGAUGGUGCACAGGACGGUAAAAGGAAUGCCCUGCACCCAUAAACACUCCAGCAGUGGUUGAACAUAUGCUAAGCCCAUUUGUUUUGGACAUGCACAUCUUUCCGAAACAAAUGAUAGCUCCAAAAGCCUUGGAAAUACAUUGAUUUCAAUGAAUGAUCAGCCUGCUGUGCAUCUAGCCACACAAUACUAGCAACACCUCAAAUCAAUGUGAUUCCAAAACACCUCACAGAUUUAACACAGGUUUCAUUUUUUUGCGGGUAUUUUUUGCGGGUAUUUAACACAGAUUUAAAUUCAGAUGCCCUGUGCUACAGGUCUCUGUGCUAACACGCUGUUUUGAGGGGUUAGAAGGCAUCUGUAGUAAUUGUUGCGUUUCAUUUUCUUUCUUUUUUCUUUUUCU